AAAGGCCAUGGUCCCGCAGCUGCGCCUCGAAAUCCUUCCCCUUUGUGGCUGUCAAGGGGGCCCAGGGCAGAAGGGGAUCUGGGCCUUCUAAGCCUGUGAGAACCCUGGGCUCUGAGUUUCUGUGAGGUUACCCAGUGCUGCCGCUGAGACAGAAAAUCUCUCUUGGGCUGUUGGUGACUCCCAAGCCUGUCCACCACGGAUGGUCAAGCUGUGGACUCUGAAAGGGAAACGCAGGGAGGCCACAUGGACGGAGGAGAGGAUGAUGCCGAGCUCCCACGGACCCGCCCAUCGCCCUCCUCCCUGUCCCUCCCCUCUCCCCCCAGCCCACCCCUCUUUUCUCUGUCGCAGCUGAAACUGGUCAUCUCCCUGGAGGAGUGGAGACCCUGAGGUAUGGGGGGGGGGGGGCCCUCUGAGGCAUGCCCAGCGGAGAUGACUUCCUUUUUCUUCUGGUUGAGUCCAGGUUCUCUUCAUCCUUUGAACAUCUGGGGACAUGAAUGAAUUCCCCUGGUCACUCUGUCACUCAUUUGUCAGUUCACUCAGAGCUCAUUGCCUUAUUAAUCCAUUUGUUCCCUCCUUUAUUUAGCUCAUGCAUUUUUUCCUAAGCAAGAGGGGGAGAUUUAUUAGGAGAACACAGGGAACCCCAGAACAAACAGCGAAUAGGCUAACUCCUCUUCCCAAGUGACCAGAGCCAGCGGCUGAUAUUGAUAUAUGAACAAGAAUGGGUACAUACGCCCAAGGACAUCGUUGAAAGGUGUAUACUUGAAAGGAAUAAGGAGAAAGGAAGGAGAGCGAGGAGAAGCUCAUGGACCUCUUGAACUCUGUCCAAGGACCCCUUGAAGACUUGAAGGCUGUGGGUUAAUAAUCCCUGGUUCGAUGCUUCUUUAAGCAGUCUCUCACACAUUUUGUGAACUGAAGGAAGUGAAACCUCACUCAAGGAGCCAGGCUCGAUAAAGAAGGGCUGAGUCCAUCACAGGAAUCUCAGGUUCCGCUUUUCUUCCCAUCCCUCCCUGUGAGCCUCCCCGGGCCCACUGUUCUUCCUCUCCUCAUCCUCCUUUCUCAUCACACCUCUGGGCACAGCGAACGCUUUACACCUUCUCUUCCUGGAGUCUGUCUUCUCUUUGGCAGCUGAUGCCAAAGGCACUUCCUGGCACCUGUUUGCUCCUCCUUUUAUUUCUUUAUCCAAAGUCAAGAGGAGUCUCACUCAGUCCCAGAAAUACCACUCCAUCAUUUGUCCUUUGCUCUUUCUUCUCCCUCCAGAGGGGGAAGAGGAAGACGGAGGAUGCAGUAAUUGAUGAAAGCCGGCAAAGUCCAAUGGUUAGAGCAACAGAAAACACGGUGGCUUUUGAAUCUCUACAUUCUUCCACCUAAAACGUCUCCUUCCCCCCAUUAUUCUCUCCCCCCAGCCCUGAUGUCUUUUCUUCAGAGCUCUUAUCCUUAUCUGAAAUGAUUCGUAUAUUUACUUUAUUGUUGUCUGUUUCCCACACUAACAUGCAUGCUACAUAAGGGCAGGGAUUUGUCUGUGUCGCUUCGAUCUCCCUAGUGCCUAGAACAGGGCUGGGUGGGUGGCAGAUCCUUGAGUAGUAAUUUGUGAAAGGAGUGAACCAGAUUGGAAUGGAAUGAGAGUGCAAAUAAUUACUGAAUUUCAAAUUUUCAGUCUUUUCUCUGCCAUUAUAUUUUGUUGACCUUAGUUAUACAAAAACACUGUGAGUGAGUUCCACAGGGUGGUUUUGAUGGAGUGGAAUGGUGGUCCGUAAAGAAGGUGACUUCUUAAGAGUUGGAGAAGUAAAACAGAGAAUGGGCUUUGGUAAUUAUAGAUAGUACAAUAUGAUAAAUGUCUUAAUUUUAUGUAACGCAAAUGCGUUUUUGCCUUUUUAUGUAGGCUAGAGAAUAUCUAAUGAAAACAAAUGUUUUCUUUUUUUAAUUAUGAAAAAAGAAACUCUGUAUUUUACACACUCUCUCUGUAAAAUGCUUGUUGUGGGUCAUGAAUGAAUUUCUAUUAAAUAUGAAAUCAAAUAUAUACAUCAUAAAGUUACAUAUAUUGCUAAAUAGUAGAGGCUGAGAUAAAUUUUAUAUACACACACAAUCUUGAAAUGAAAGUUGGUACUCUUGUUAUUAAUAAUUAGUUUCUUUGUAAAUUGUCUUACUUUCUCCUUCAUGCACAAGAUGGGUAAGGGAAUUUAAUCAUUUUACCUCUGUGCUUCUUUGCCCAGCUGCUGGUGGGACUUUUGUAACUUCACUGGGAACACGGGGAACAGAAGAUUUUAAGUGGGAAAUUCACAUCAUUUUAAUUUUCUAAAAAGGGGGAAAAAAUCUGCAAACCACAGACUGGGGAGCUGAGUCUCAGUUCCAGAGCAGAGUUGCCAGCCUGGAGAAGCUGUAAGAGACCCUGAUGCCAGUAGGUGGAGCGAGCGAGCGGUCACCAAGGACAAACGGCAGCGCGGUCACUUCAUUUUCUUUUGCUUGGAGCACGCGACUGGACUGGCCUUACCAAGACCACGUGUGACUCCUCCGAAAGAUGUUUGAGGGUCUCACUAAUGGUAUAUUUUCUGACAAAUGGAGAGAUGUGGGCUAAGCCCAAAUUAGUUGCAUUCAGAACAUUUAAAAAAUAGAUAAUUGGCCAUUCUCAUAUCUUAUCAAAUUGUACGACACACUAUCUUGUCCUUCUCCCUAUGACCAACCAGUGUCUAGAUUCACACUGGCAUAUGAACUUGUUUUCAUCAAAUGGGUUAAUAAGAAUCGGAGGGUUGGUUUGAGCCACGUUAGGCUGCACUGAAUGAAGAGGUAUAAUGUCUAGAGGAGGAGAGAUGAUGGGUUUACUCUCCUCUGGGCUAGGUAGACCACGUGGAAAGUUGUACUCAGUUUGGAAUACCACAUUUUUUAAGUGAAUACAGACAAAUUGGAACACUAUAAGCAGUGUGACAAGGAUGCUGAGGACUUGCGAUAUGUAUAUGCAAUGCAUACAAAAGACCUGGGGAUGCUCAAACAUGACGAGGAGCAGGGGUCUUGGGGGUGAGGGGAUAAGUCGGCUGCUCACAUCUGCUCGAGAGGCUGACAGGUAGAAGACUGUACAGGCGGAACUGGACGUGCAGUCGCUGCUCUUGGACCAAUCAGCGAAAGGGGAAGAACUGGAAUGAAGCUCAACCAACGGAGGAACGUUCAAACAGCUGCAGAUGUUCAAAGAUGAAGAGAUGUCAGUAGGAGGGAGUGAGUUCUCCUUCACCAGAUGUGUUCAAGUCAUUGAUAGACUCUAGCAACACUUUUCAUGGAUUUGGAGAAGAAGGCUCAAGUAUAAGCUGAGUGGUAGAUGAGGUCAGGGUUCACCAUAUGCUAGUCUAGGGAUGGGUGACAGUCCAUUAUAAAAUUUUUACUGAGUCCCUAGAAAGAUACAGGCAACAUGGCUCAUAAAUCUUAACUUAUUCCACUUAAAAGACUAUAAUUUAUUCUGAUAUUUUUUACUUCUUACUUUGUAAGGGUGAAAUGCCAUUUCCUUAAUGAAAUAAUAGCAAUGAUAGGAAUAGGUUUUAAAAUAUACCUUACCUGGCAAAAUAAAAAGUUUGGCAACCC
rnacentral:lncRNA from 1 species